UCCCCUUUCUGAAGACAAGGAUAACCCCCUGGAGGGGGAGGAAUCUCUCUGGGCCCCUUCUCCCCCAUCUCCCACUGUGGGUCAAGUAAUUUUGCUUGUCUUCAAAACAGGGAGGGUGGAACAGAGCUCUCAGGUCCCAGGCAGUCUGUGGGAGGGGCAGGCACACUCUCAGGCUCCAGGGGUCUUCAAACAAGACCUCCCCAGUCUUGCCCAGGAGCUUCCUCACCAACAACCUCAGGACACCUGGAAGGAGGAUGGCCUGACAGAGGUCCUAGGUGGGGUCUGUCAUUCUGCCCCCCGCCUAAGCUUGAUGCCUGUCCAGCACUAAGAGUUAACAAACUGAACACUCCACGAAAAAACUGUUGCUAUGACACGCUGCUACACAGAUUGACACAAACUUUUCAAAUACUUUGGAGAAAUCUUUGUUUAGCAAAUCGGUAAACGUGGUAAAUUCAGCCCACUGACUUUUGGAGAUGGUUUUGUCGAACCGACCCAAGAUCCUGUGCCUGCCAUGUCCUGUCAUCCCCACGGGCCUGGCACUGCACUUAUGUGUGAACCAAGGCUCAGGAAAGACACUUUACAUUGAAGAGUCCCACGCUGGCAUGUGUAUGUCUAACUGGUAUUGUCAGCCCAGGGACAUCCUCCAGGCACCCUUGGUUAUUUUCUCUUUGGACAGGUAGGCAGACACUCUUAUACACCGGGGGGCCAGAGGACAGAGGCCACAUUCCCAGAGUUUGGCAUGCUCAGCAGCUCUGUUGUUGAUGACCUGGCCCCAGGAUCAGGCCCAGAAAAUGGUGGGUGGAACCACCAAGCCCGGGCAAGAAGGCACGGGCCUUGGUUUUCAGUGUUGAAAUUUCUGGCCUCCCGCUUCAGGCACCCUGGCAGGGCUCUGACUUCCCCAGCAGGCAUGUUUAUGGGGGUAAUGCCUGGCUAUAGUCAUGACUUCACUGUCUUCUUACCAUAGCCUGGCAAGGUAGAGUCUGGGAUCGUACCCUUUCACAGGUGAGGAGAUUGAGGCUUAGCAGAGCUGGGCGACCUGCUCAAGGGCACACAGCUAGCAGGUGGUGGAGCUGAGAUUCCAACCCAGAUGUCGCUUUGCUUUGGGGAAGUCUGAGGUCUUGGGAAUGCGAGUGUCUUCACAAGCAUGCUGCGGGACCUGCUCUCUAUGGAGGAGCCAGUUUGUUGUAGUGGAAAGAGGUAGACACAUCCGGCUCCUGGCUCUGCCUCAGAUUCUUUCUGAGCCUCGGUUUCCCAAAUUGUAAAAUGGUGACAAUGCUUCCCUGAUGUGGUUCCAAAGAUUUAAAUUAGAUUGUACAAUAAGGACCCGAUAAAAAGGUUUGUUUUUCUCUUUUUGUUCUAAGUUGUUUGCAAUUUUCUGCAAUGGAAUUAAAAAUAUGUACGUACACUGAAAGAAAUCCAGAGUCAACAUGGAAUCCGUGCACCUUGAUUAUUCUAAAGUGUUGAGUGAGUAACAAAACAGCUGCCCUGUACUGGGCACAAGGAGUUAACUGGCUGUGUUUCCUAGGAUCUGUGUGUGCGUGUGUGCAUGUGUGUGUAUGUGCACGCACAUCCCUAACGUCGUUUUACUUCCUGUGAGUGCAUCCAUCCUGGGGAAGGGUUUGGGGAUGGACUCACUCAGUAGGGAGGGACUCUUACCUCUCCCUUCCCUCGGCUUUGCCUUAUUUCUUUCAUGGAAACACUCCUCCUCCUUCACCAGGCUGGGGCCUCAGAGGAGAGCAGAGCUGCAGUCAGCCUGUCAGUGCACUUCCUCUCACCUUUCCUGGGUGGGUGCUUCACACUUGGGUGCAGGGUGUGAGAACGGGUUAUUUUUACCGCAGCUGGAUGUGAUGCCAGUCUGGAGGGAGGGGCUGUCAGCCUCUCUGGAGAGGUGGCCAGAGGCUAAGGAGUGCUGUCUCUCUCUCUCUCCCUGUCCUUCAUACCCAAGCUCCCGCUUUGUGCACAGGACUCUUGGUAGUUGGUGGGAUUGGGGGAUGGGUGGGAGGACCUGGCUCUGGUCAUGGGCUCCCUGGGCCAUGGUCCCAGAGGUGCCAGCAGGACUGGGGCCUUCUCAGACCUUAGCUGCGGAGAAUCGGGGGCAGGAGCCUUGGAUUAGUGUCAGGCCUGGCUGGCUCUAGGCUCUGCAGCUUUCCCUGGGGGGCUGCAUGCACCAGGCUGUGGGGCCCUCCUACCCAAGGCCAGCAGAAGUCUCCUAGUGCUAACUUCACACCCAGGCCACUCCCAUGCACCAGCUGGCCCUCAGCCUGGGCCGGUGCUGGGAGCUGGGUACCUGCAGCCUCCUUCGGGGCUGUCUCCCUCACCAGCCGGGGCCCCUGGGGGCCUCGUGGGAGAGGGCAGUCUUGCUCCUCCAGGCCUCACCCUGGCUCUGCACCUCCAGCCUGGUUCCUGGGACGCAUGCUGCCUGCCCUCAUCUCUGGGACGUUCUGAGCCUGGGAGUCCCAUCCACCCACUGGUCACCUUUCCUCAUGUGGCAGCUCACGAGGCCAGCCCUACCUUGGGUAGUAGCUUCCAUGAACACCUUGCAACUCACCAGCCUCUCUGUCUUCCGUGGCUCCCUCCUGCCCAUCUCAGGCCUCCAUGCCUGCUGCUUCCCCUGCCUGAACCCUCCCCUCUGUCUCCCUGCCGUUCUUCAGGUCUCAAAUGCGGCCUCCUCUGAUGCCUCCCACCCAGGCCGGGGGUGUUCCCAGUACCGUUUUCUAAUUGCAUGUUGUUCUUCUCUUGACAGAACGUAUUGAGUUCAAAAUGAUUAAUUUUUCAUUUUUCCACACUAGAGCGGAAGCUCCAUGAGGCCAAGAUCACAUCUGCUGUGGCCCCUCUGUGCCAGGCACAGCAAUGUUCACUGCAGAAAGUUCAGAAAACAAAUACUUCCUAUCAUCCUACCGCUCAGAGAUGACGACUGUUGACAUUUUGGUGUAAAUGCUUCCAGAAUAAUUUUAAUACAUCCGGUCUCCAAAACAAUACCAGCCUCCCACUUGUGUUCAAGGAUGUAUGACGCUUUUUUAACGUGGAACAAUGGUUGUCUUUUCUUGCCUCGAUUCAGGUAAAAUUAAAAAAAAAAGAAAAAGACACUGAAAUUCAGGUCUAAAUGACUGAGAGCAGGCCCAUUACAAACGUGAAGUUUGACCAAGAGGGUGAGGACCGGGAAAACAAUUGUGAGAGAAUUGGGUGGCGGGAGGAAGGGCAAUGUCAAGGUUGUCCACUUUUGCCAGUGCUUAAAGCCGAGAGAACCGCAGAGUUGGGAUGAAUCCUGUUUGUCAGCGUCUGUUCUGCGCCUUGCAGGUUUGGCAGCAGGCUUCCCAGAAGAGAGGUGUCACCUUUCUGUAUUCUCACCCCCCCAUCUAGCAUCACCGGGACAGGGCGGGUGUUUGAGGUGCAGCCAGAGCUGUCAUCCUGGCGUCAGCUUCAAGCCUGUUGUUGUGGACGCAGCGUGUCAGGGCUACAGGGACCUCGAAGGCUCUGGGUCCAGCUCGUCUGAAAGGAGACGUGCCAAAGGCCGCAGUGUGGAGACAUGUUCUGCUUUCUGGGUCUUUCCACUAAGUUCCUAAAAUCUGAGAAGUUUCUUUUAGGGUUUUCCAAUGUACUUUCUUUCCAGAAGUACUUUCCUUUUGGAAAAAAAUUGCUUAGGGGCAGCUAUAAUAUAUUGGCAAAGAUACACAACACCCCAUUUUCCUACCAAAUGCCAUUUUUUUCCUACUCAGAAUUAACACCUGUGAAAAUCUUGUCAUGAUUUCUCCAUCUUCUUUGUACAUGACUCUUCUACUUCAAUGAAGUAGGUGACAAUACUCCCAUCUUUCCUGAGGCACCCAGUAUGGUAAGGGUGACAAUUUGUGAGCACACCAGCAGAAUCACAAGCACGUUUGGUUUGCAAGCAGAGAAGGCUGGGCUCCCAGCAAGUAAGGCAGGAUACCUCCCAUGAUGCUGCAUGUCAGGGCUGCCCAAACAUCCCCCUUCCCUCAAGCAAGGAGCCUCCUCCAGGCACCAAGCUCUGUGCUGGUGUGUGUGGACACCUACAUUCCUGUGGGCACGCACCCAACUGCCCCCUUUCUCCGAACUCCUGUAGCAAUUAGUCUGGAUAAUGUUUUUGUAGUUUCUAGAUGACUUUACAAUUACCUUGGGUUAUUUGUCGCUAUUUCUCACUUUUGACCUACAUGGUACCUAAUAGAGGGCUCUGUUGACUUAAGCUCCUAGAAGAGUGACUUGUGUUUGGGCCCUAAAUUUCCCACUGGAGACCUUCUGUCUCCAACAUUCAUUGCUCAAAGGUCAGCAGGGCCAGCGGCCUUCUUUCACUCGCAGAUUUCUCCUGGCUACUACCCACUGCUUCUGCCCAUCAGAUGCUGUUUUACAGAUUUUUCAAGCCCGGCUAGGACACCAGGGCAGAAAGUUUCUCAUUCAUCUUUGUCC